rfam:Schistosoma haematobium scaffold135_11, whole genome shotgun sequence.
AUCUAGCUGACGAGUCCUAACCAGGACAAAACGCGUGUCAAACUAGAU